rnacentral:rRNA from 1 species
AGGCUGCAACUCGCCUACACGAAGCUGGAAUCGCUAGUAAUCGCGGAUCAGCACGCCGCGGUGAAUACGUUCCCGGGCCUUGUACACACCGCCCGUCACACCACGAGAGUUUACAACACCCGAAGUCAGUGGCCUAACCGCAAGGAGGGAGCUGCCUAAGGUGGGGUAGAUGAUUGGGGUGAAGUCGUAACAAGGUAUC